GUCAAGAAUAUUAGUCAAUGCUCGCAAGAGUGAACUAGCUAACUGGAAUCACAUCUGUGAAUAACGUAAAGGAGAAUAAUGAUGUAACUUUACUAUAAGUGCUGUCCAAAGCUGUGAGAUGUAUUGGGACUACAUCGUUAAUGGCUGUUAAACUAUCAAACUCCGGGGACACCCUAAAGCUUAUGAUACCAAACUAUAGUCGAAAGGCAAUAAGUGGCCAGAAUAAUUACCUGGGUAAGGUAACAAGUCAUAAGAUGAAGGAAACUGAAAUGGGUUAUCGCGGAUCUAAAUCAUCUUUAAUUUAUUAUAACAGCCAACCAAUAACAAUAAAUAAAGGUGUAAAAGAGCAACGAGUAGACGGUAGUUGGUAUUUUCUUGACAAAAAAUACUUAAGGUGUACUCUAACGGGCUUCGAAAGAAGUUAUCCUGUCAAAAUCCCUUCUAACCAAUUUUUUAAAAGACUUUAUUCUAAUUCUACAAGACCGUUGAAUCCAAAUUCUGUGACUGGAUUUACUGAUGCUGAUGGUGAGGGUGAGGGAAGUUUUACUAUUUCAAUUUAUCAUGAUAAUAAAGCCAGCACUAAAAUUAGAGUUGCGGCUAGAUUUCAAAUUAGAUUAAAUGUUAGAGAUCUUUCUUUAUUAAUCAAAAUUCAAGAAUUUUUUGGAGGCAUAGGAACAUUUACUUAUGAUAAAGAAAGUAAUGCUUUUAAUUAUUCAGUAAAUAGUUUGACAGAUUUGCAAAAUGUUAUAAUUCCUCACUUUAUGAAUUAUCCACUGUUGACACAAAAAAAAAGAAAGAAGAGCAGCUGAUUUUAAAUUAUUUGUGCAAAUUGUUCAAUUAAUCCGGGGGACAAAGGUGCUCAUCUUAAUCAGGCUGGUUUACAACAGAUAGUUAAUAUUAAAGCUUCUAUGAAUAAAGGUAAUUCUGAUUUUGUUAAAUCUAAGUUUCCUCUAAUUAUCCCUGUAGAAUUAGGUAGAGAAACCAUUGAAACUACAAAUAUUUCAGAUCCACAUUGGAUCUCAGCAUUUGUUAGUGGUGAAGGUAAUUUUGAUGCAGGUAUUAGAAAAGCUACUAAUACUCGAAAAGAAAGAAUUUAUUUAAGAUUUAGAUUAUCACAACAUGAGAGAGAUCUCAAAUUAAUGGAACUAAUAAUUAAAUAUUUAGGAACAGGAAGAAUCGAGUAUGAUAACAGAAUAAUGCUGUUGUAGUUAUAGUAGUAGGAAACUUUGCAGAUAUAAAUAACAAAAUAAUUCCUUUCUUUAAUCAGUAUCCUGUAUUAGGUGUAAAGAACUUAGAUUAUUUAGAUUUUGCAAAAAUUGCUAAUAUGAUGAGUUUAGGUAAACAUAAAACACAAGAAGGAUUUGAGGAAAUAAAAGCAAUAGAAUCUGGAAUGAAUAAAGGUAGAAAGUAGAUAAAAUUAAAAAAUUGUAUGAAAAAUUUGAUGAUCCGUGGGUGCCAGAAGACUCGGUAAGGCCAGAAGCGCGAGCGUAAGUCAUCUUGAAAAGGCGUAAAGUGUGUGUAGGCAGCUUUGAAAAUCUCUUAACAGGGAAAAACUCAAAGAUUGAAUCAAAUAGAGGUCACAGUCCAGAUAAUUUUGUAAGGAAGGAUACAAUAUGCAGAUUUACAAAGGAAUACUAAUUAGCGAAUGCUCUUUUCCAACUAAUGAUUGACGCUGAGACACGAAGGUGAGGAUCGAAAAUAGAAUUUGGUACUCUGGUAUCCCUCUCUGUAAACGAUGAAUGGUAGUUGCUAGUUUAAGUAUUAGUGGCGAUGCUAACGCGUUAACCAUUCCGCCUUGUGAGUACGGCCGCAAGGUUGAAAACAAAAAAAUUAGUCGCUUUCGGGGCAAACGAAGUGAAGCAUGUUAUUUAAUUCGAU
rnacentral:rRNA from 1 species